rnacentral:misc_RNA from 1 species
UGUACUAUCUGCAUUAAACGUUGUAUCAACUGUGGGCGGUGCUUAAAUAAUUGUGAAUAUGAGGAAUUAUUCAGUUUCGACAAUCUGUGUUUAGAUUGCUGUAGGGAUUGCUAUAAGGAAUUUUUGGAUCACCAAGAGAGGCAAGAGAGGAUUACUGUUCCACUGGAAAAUCCUGUUCCUCAUAAGCAGACAAGCUGCCAUUUCUUCUUUUGUGGCUAGAACAUGCAGCAGGCAA